rnacentral:lncRNA from 1 species
AUCCCAUCUGCCCCAGGCCCGAGAGAUGGGGGGCGGGGCAGGGGCGGAGCGUUUGGAGGUCUUAGGAUGUUGUAUGCUGUGCUGAGUGGAUGCCAGUUCGGUGUGAUGUCACGUGUGGCGCGAUGGGCGGUCGCACACUAGGCUUUUGAUCUUGCACUUUGGGAUGCAAAUUUGACAUGUAGAGGGAAAAGGAAUGUCUCUGAGCGUAAGGCUGAAAGACGUGUGUGAGGCCAGAGUAGAUGGCAGUGAGAGUGGGCAGAGAGGGGGAAGCUGGCACGUCCAGGGUCAUGGGCACGUGGGCUGAGGCUCAGAUGGUCUUGGCAUGUGGUCAUCUAGAUAGUUAUUACCAUCCUGAGGUGGGUGGUGGGGCCUGCAGGGCACAUCUCGGGAAACCCUUGUGGCACCUUUGAGCAUGCUACUUGCUUAUCUUUUUGUCUUGCUUUGGGCUAAUAAAAAUAAAUAAAGGCAUCUUGCUGUGGUUUCUGUGCC